AGAGUUUGAUCAUGGCUCAGAACGAACGCUGGCGGCGUGCUUAACACAUGCAAGUCGCGUGCGCAGUUGCCGUAGCAAUACGGUGAUGGGCGCACGGCGCACGGGUGCGUAACACGUGGGCAGUCUGCCCUUUGAUGGGGAAUAACCCGCCGAAAGGCGGGCUAAUUCCGCAUAAGAUUCUUUGGACCUCGGUCUGAAGAUUGAAAGCAGCAAUGCGUCGAAGGAGGAGCCCGCGCCCGAUUAGCUAGUUGGUGAGGUAAUGGCUCACCAAGGCAAUGAUCGGUAGCUGGUCUGAGAGGAUGAUCAGCCACACUGGAACUGAGACACGGUCCAGACUCCUACGGGAGGCAGCAGUGGGGAAUCUUGCACAAUGGGCGAAAGCCUGAUGCAGCGACGCCGCGUGGGGGAUGAAGCAUUUCGGUAUGUAAACCCCUUUCGACUGGGAAGAAUGCCUCGCAAGAGGAGUGACGGUACCAGUAGAAGAAGCCCCGGCUAACUACGUGCCAGCAGCCGCGGUAAGACGUAGGGGGCCAGCGUUAUUCGGAAUUACUGGGUGUAAAGGGUUCGUAGGCGGUGCGGCAAGUUGGGAGUGAAAUCUCUGGGCUUAACCCAGAGGCUGCUUCCAAAACUGCUGUGCUCGAGUGUGAGAGAGGCUCGUGGAAUUGCAGGUGUAGCGGUGAAAUGCGUAGAUAUCUGCAGGAACACCCGUGGCGAAAGCGGCGAGCUGGAUCACUACUGACGCUGAGGAACGAAAGCUAGGGGAGCAAACAGGAUUAGAUACCCUAGUAGUCC
rnacentral:rRNA from 1 species